ensembl:lincRNA
AAACAAGAUUAUUUUACUGACCUCACUGGCAGAUUAUUUAGCUUGUUUCAAGGAAAAACUCACUUUAUUUUGGCACAUUGUUUAUAACACAAGGCUUUAUUUUGCUGGUCUAGAAAAUGCUUCUUGAUUAAAGAUUUUUUUUAAUAACUGGACUAGAAACAAGACGAAAAGAAAAAGAAGUAAAGCAUGUUUUGCAGUGUAAAAGUCAUAAAUUUUAACGGUAAGGAUAAAUGUGAGAAGUGCAUCAUUUACUAAUUUUAAUAGUAGUUUAGAGUGAGUUUGUUUUUUAAACGCGUUAUUAACUGGGUUACAUAAUAUGAUUAGCGUUCACUUCUGUGCCCUGUAUAAUCAAUAGUGGAUGGGUACUGCUAAUUUUCUUAUUCUGUUUGAAAGUCUAAUACAUUUAGAACAAAAACAAACAUUAAAAUAUCUGCACAACUCUUCACAUUUAGUUGACUUUCUGCCGAAUACUGUCAGUUCGUUUGGUUUAGUCCCCUGCGGGCCGCCGUAGUUUACGUACCCCGAACGUCACUUUUCCGCUGCGGUAGCGGUUAGCAUGCUGGCUAGUAUAAACAAUGCUUGACGUCGUUGUGUAAUGUGACAUUUAUUCUUCUAAAAUAUCAUCAAUCAUUUAUCAUUUUCAAGACAAUCUCGUCGAGCAUCAUGGAAACGGAAAACCGAGCCAAAAAGAGAGUGUACUCGGAGAAGUCUGCUUCUGAGGGAUCGGAGGAUGAUGACUACGUGCCGUAUGUUCCUGUCAAGAUCAGAAAACAGCAGAUGCUCCAGAAGGUGAUGCGUCUGCGGGGUAAAGGCCUGACGGAGGAGGAGCAGAAGGACAGUGGUGGAGAACAGAAGGAUGAGGAUGAAGGUCUGGGUCCUCGAUCUAAUGUCAGCCUGCUGGACCAACAUCAGCACCUCAAGGAGAAAGCAGAAGCUCGAAAGGAGUCUGCCAAGGAGAAACAGCUGAAGGAGGAGGAAAAGAUUCUGGAGAGUGUGGCUGAAGGCAGAGCCCUGAUGUCUGUGAAGGAAAUGGCCAAAGGAAUCACAUAUGAAGAUCCAAUAAAGACAAGGUGAGUUGACGUAUACAGCACUUUCCGGAGCCUGUACCAUAAUGCUGGCUUAACAAACUCAGGAUUAUAGGAUUAGACUAAACCAAAACAGUGCAGUCAUGUUUUGCUGUUAUCAUGAAUCGAAUCAUCAGCUUUCUAUAUUAAUUCUGGCUUCAAUCCUGAGUUCAUGAGCAUAUGCAAAUAAAGGCAGGACAUCAGCAGCAAACAGCCAAUCACAGGCCUCGAAAGAGAAAGAUACUGGGAUUGACUUUUAAAAUAUAAUAUUAAAACAUUUUUAAAGAACAUAAAAUUUAAAAACAUUUAUAUAGCAAGAUGAAAGAGGAUAGACAAAUGAAAAAUGAUUUAUUCAAGCAAGUAAAGUACAUAUGAUAAUACAUAAAUAUACAGAGACUCUAAAAUAUAAGGUCAGAUGUAGUCUUUUUCAAGCAUUAUCUACUUAUUUAAGAUACAGGUUAUUUAUAUUGCAGCUAUCAACAUAUUUGUAUUUAUUGACACAAAAAAAUGGUUAUUAAAUUCAAAUUAUAUUACAGAUAUAACAUAAUAGAUAAUCAUUUGUUAAAAUCAAAAUCUUGUAAGUGUUUUACUAUACAGCUACUUUAACUUUGAAGCAAGAGAAUCUGGGGCAGUGGCUUUAUUGUCACUUUGCUCACAGCUGAUUUGUUGAAUAUUGGUUUGUGAUCUCUUAACAUAGCCUGAACAUAACCUGAACAUAACCAGAACAUAACCUGAACAGAACAACAAAACUUGAACAUAUCUAGAACAUAAACAGAACAUAAACAAGAAAAUAACCUUAACCUAAUCAUAGCAUAACUAGAACAUAACCUGAGCAUAAUCUGAUCAUAAUCUAAACAUAGCCAGAACAAAAGAUGAACAUAACCAGAACAUGACCUGAAAAUAAUCAAAAUAUAACAACAAAACUCGAACAUAUCUAAAACAUUAACAGAACAUAAACAAGAACAUAACCUGAAGUUAAUCAGAACAUAACUAGAAAAUAACUGAGCAUAAUCUGAACAUCGCCAGAAAAUAAGAAGAACAUAACACAAAGAUGAACAAGAAAAUCACCUGAACAUAAUCAUAGCAUAACUAGAGCUUAACCUGAGAACAAUCAGUGAUUAAUCUGAACAUUGCUAGAACAUAGCCAGAACAUAACCAGGACAAAACCUGAACAUAACCUGCACACAAUCAAAACAUAACAACAAAACUUGAACAUAUAUAGAACAUAAACAAGAAAAUAACCUGAACUUAAUCAUAGCAUAACUAGAACAUAACUGAGCAUAAUCUGUGCAUAAUCUAAACAUAGCCAGAACAUAACAGAAACAUGAACAAGAACAUAACCCGAACAUAAUUAGAGCAUAACCUGAGAAUAUUAUGUGCAUAUUCUGAACAUAAUCUGAAAACANNNNNNNNNNNNNNNNNNNNNNNNNNNNNNNNNNNNNNNNNNNNNNNNNNNNNNNNNNNNNNNNNNNNNNNNNNNNNNNNNNNNNNNNNNNNNNNNNNNNGUGUGUUUAUGAGUGUGUGUCCAUGUGUGUGCUUGCAUGUGCUCACUUGUAUAUGAGUGUGCGUGUGUGUGUGUGCAUGCGUGCACGUGCGUGUGUGCAUGCAUGUGCAUCUUUGUAUCAGUGUAUAUAUUUGAGAGUAUGUGCGUGCGUGCGUGCAUGCAUGUGCAUCUGUGUAUGGGUGUGUAUGUUUAUGAGAGUGUGUGUGCGCAUGUAUGUGCGCAUGUAUUAGUGUGCGUUUGCAUGUGCUCACUUGUAUGAGAGUGUGUCCGUGUGUGUGCGUGCGUUCAGGCCAGCAGUGGGCCGUCUUCAUGGCAGCGGUGUGUUUGGUUUGCUCUUAUUAUCAGUGUAAUGAGGUUUAAUGAGUUGAGGACUGAAGCGCUGCAGGAGCGAGAGCAGCAUCACUGACAUCAGCCCAGAGCACAAACUAAACAACACACACACACACACACACACACACACACACUUCUGCUCUCUUAUUUCUGCAAUUAUACUAUUCAUUCCUGAAGCAUGUAUCAUCACAGCAUUCUCAUCAUAUCGAUCUUAGACACAAACAACGUUACUCUAACAGGUAUAAUAACCACAAAACACUAUUAUUGAUCAUUCAUUUUCAGAGAAUUAAUGUUUUAAAACAAUGUAAAUUACUAUAUAGAGUAGAUCCUAAUUAAUGCAUUCAAAUCAAAGGUGUGAAAUGGCUAUAUAUGUUGCUUAAUAAAUAGCUGAACUCUAUUAGUUCUGUAACUAAUAAACGUGUAAACGUGCAGAAAUCCAGUCUCUCCAUUAAACAACACUUGGGAAAUAUCUGUUCGAGCAUUAGCAGGGCGAAUAAAGUGUGUUUACAUGCGUUGCUUUUCUGGAGUGCUGAUUUAAUAGUCAGCCUGCGCUGUAAAUCGUGACGAUGGGCAGUUGCACAAGUCAGAAAUGUGUGUUUUACAUGUGUCUAUCUGAGGUGGGAGAACAGCGCCAGAUGUGCCGACUGCAUUUAUGGAUCGUCGGCAUCUUUGUUUCUUUAUCACUAAUUGGAUGUUAGGAUUGCGGGCUGAUGGGGAGAGCGUGCGGGAAUGAUGGAGUGCGGAGAGUAAUAGAGGCAUUUGCACAGUAACUGCGGCCGUAAGUCUCUCUGCAUACUGAAAAAGCUGUCAUUUCUACAUGAUUUCUAUUGCCACACAAACACAAACGGCCUGUCUGUCACGGCUCCCAGUGAUAAGCUGGCACAUACAUCAGCAGACGCAUGCAUCACUGACACAGGCUGCUCGCGGAGGACGCUUUAUUCACACACACACACACACACACUUUUACAGACAUCCGGAAAGCACACAGUUUGUAGUUUUAACCUGAUGCAUGAAUUAUUACAUAGUACACACUGUGUUUCUUUUUACUUUUUUAAAGAAAAGUUUGUUCAUUUAAAUUAUGCAAUGCUUAAUUUUUAGGAAAAUGUUUUGUUUUGUAUUUAAAUUAUGUAAUGUUUAUUUUUAGGAAAAUGUUCUGUUAAGAUUUUCAUUUAAAUUACGCAAUGUUUAAUUUUUAUUCAAAUUUUUAUUUGAACAUUUUUUUAUUUCAAUUUUGCAAUGUUUUAUUUUUAGGAAAAUAUUG